GUGGUUGUACCAUGUUUGGCGUCCUACAAAAGAUAAUUAGAGCCUCAAAUAAAAACUUCAGAACUAUUGUGUUAUAAAAGUACAUUAAUGCACACAAUGAAUGCAUAACUUCUUAUAUCUGGAAAAUACUAAGAGCAAGGGACUGUAAACCUCUGCUUGACAGGAUCUGAGGGAACAUUCACAAAACGUAAGGAAUUUAUCUUUUGCAAGAAGAGGAGCGCUUACAAAAUAACAGUUUUAUGGCAUAAAAUUGUGAUGGUUUGUAAUAAAUCUGUUAUUGCCUGAAAAUAAUUGAAGACACCAAACAGUAAUUUAAUGCUUUUCUUUGGAUAAAUGAAGUUACUUAUCUGAAAGAAAGAGAACAUCUAACUACUGAAAAAGCCAAUCAGACACUACAAUAAGGUGAUGUACUCUGUUAAAUCUCCAUCAUGUCAGAAGUAGCAUCAAAUGAAAAGAAUAGAAGAAAAGGUUUCAUCAUAGACAUUUCAGAGUCUAUUGCAUCUAAACAUUUUAUGUUUUAUAUUUUUCAAAACAUAUUAUGAAAACAGAAAUACAUUUAUCAAGUGCAAUUAUGACUACAAUUAAAUUUCAAAAGUUAGAAAUCACCUCUCAUGACUGAAAAACUUUCUUAUUUCUAAUGAAAUGCUAUCAAUGCAAAUGACAUUGACAAGAGAAAUCAAUUAUUCCAUAUCUGAAAACUCCAGUAAAAAAAAAGAAAAAGGUAUAU
rnacentral:misc_RNA from 1 species